rnacentral:rRNA from 1 species
GACGAACGCUGGCGGCGUGCUUAACACAUGCAAGUCGAACGGAAAGGCCUUUUCGGAGGUACUCGAGUGGCGAACGGGUGAGUAACACGUGGGUGAUCUGCCCUGCACUCUGGGAUAAGCCUGGGAAACUGGGUCUAAUACCGGAUAGGACCGCACUUUAGUGUGUGUGGUGGAAAGUUUUUUCGGUGUAGGAUGAGCCCGCGGCCUAUCAGCUUGUUGGUGGGGUAAUGGCCUACCAAGGCGGCGACGGGUAGCCGGACUGAGAGGUUGGUCGGCCACAUUAGGACUGAGAUACGGCCCAGACUCCUACGGGAGGCAGCAGUGGGGAAGAUUGCACAAUGGGAGCAAGCCUGAUGCAGCGACGCCGCGUGGGGGAUGACGGCCUUCGGGUUGUAAACUCCUUUCGCCAGGGACGAAGCGUUUUGUGACGGUACCUGGAGAAGAAGCACCGGCUAACUACGUG